rnacentral:rRNA from 1 species
CAGUCGCCGCGGUAAUACGAAGGGUGCAAGCGUUAAUCGGAAUUACUGGGCGUAAAGCGUGCGUAGGCGGUGAGUUAAGUCUGCUGUGAAAUCCCCGGGCUCAACCUGGGAAUGGCAGUGGAUACUGGCUCGCUAGAGUGUGUCAGAGGAUGGUGGAAUUCCCGGUGUAGCGGUGAAAUGCGUAGAGAUCGGGAGGAGCAUCAGUGGCGAAGGCGGCCAUCUGGGACAACACUGACGCUGAGGCACGAAAGCGUGGGGAGCAAACAGGAUUAGAUACCCGCGUAGUCCCUGUCUCUUAUAC